UACGUAGGUGGCAAGCGUUGUCCGGAAUUAUUGGGCGUAAAGCGCGCGCAGGCGGUCCUUUAAGUCUGAUGUGAAAGCCCACGGCUCAACCGUGGAGGGUCAUUGGAAACUGGGGGGCUUGAGUGCAGGAGAGAAGAGUGGAAUUCCACGUGUAGCGGUGAAAUGCGUAGAGAAUGUGGAGGAACACCAGUGGCGAAGGCGACUCUUUGGCCUGUAACUGACGCUGAGGCGCGAAAGCGUGGGAGCAAACAGG
rnacentral:rRNA from 1 species